rnacentral:lncRNA from 1 species
CUUGAGUGACAACUUGAGGACAAGGCGGCGCCUCGACAAGAUUUCACACAGCAGCUACGGGGGCCAGAGAAGCAGCACCGCAUGGUGUGGCAGGAGAAGGAGGACAUGCACAAGCAAUUGGUUGAAGCUUCAGAGACAUUGAAAUCCCAAGCCAAAGAACUGAAAGAUGCCCAUCAGCAGCAAAAGCUGGCCCUGCAGGAGUUCUUGGAGCUCAAUGAGCUCAUGGCAGAGCUCUACUCCCAGAAGCAGAAGGUGUGGGACAAGGAGGAGGAGAUGGAAGUAGCCAUGCAGAAAGCUGACAUGAUGUGGCAGGAGAUCUGAAGAUCCAAGAAGCUCAGAAAGAGGAUGCUGUUUAGCCA